rnacentral:lncRNA from 1 species
AAAGAACCCUAAGCUUGCAAUCAGAAGGACCCAGUUCAAGUCCUAGUGUUUUCCUCUUGCCAGCUAUGUAAAAUUGGACUAUGCCUUAUCCUUUCUGAGUUUCAUUUUCCUUGUUAUUAAAAUAGAGGUGAUACUUCAACUUCCUACUUAAAUAGAAUCUCAGGAUCAAAGGAGUGCCUUCUCUGCCCAUGACUUACAUUUUCCUACAAAUGAUGAAAUUUGUUGGCAUUUAUUGAGUGAUUUUUGCAUGUGAAAAAGGAUGUACCAAAGGUAAAUUUUCUUGAAAACAUUUAACUAAGGAGGCUUUUAACAUAAUUUCUCUUAUUUAAGAGAGAAUGAUUAUUACUACAGUAUACUGAACUGAAAGGCUUUGAAAUACAUUUCAGUAGAAACUAAUGACUCUUUCCUUUCAGUAUCUUUGUCACAAUUAAGAUUGAGCAAAAGUUCAUGUCAGCGAGGAAUUGUUCAAGCUACUAAAUUUUGCUUUAUUUAAAAUCAUUGUUGAGUCACAUCAGCAGAUCCUGGGAAAAGGUCAUUGCAUGGUUUUGGACAUGGCAGCAUGAAGACACUUUUGGAAAUGUCAAGAAAUAUUUGACAUUGGAUUCUGUACUAUACUACAUUAGGAUGAACAUAAAACACCACUUUUUACCAAUGGCACUUCAUAUAAGAGGAGAGCCAAGUAUGCAGGAAAGCACAGGGAAGAAUCAGAGGCUCAAAGGGCAAGUAAAAAUAAGGUGAGUAAUUAAGUUUAAGUAGAUAAUUGGAUUUCUGCUUUUGAAAGUGGCUUCUGUUUGCCCCUGUUUGUGUUCAGGCAUGUGAAGAAUUUACUAAUUGUAAACUAACAGAGGAUAAAGAGAUAGCCUCCUAUCAAGAGGAAGGGCACAGACCAUCAAAAAUAUAUU